CCGAAAAUAGCUCAGUUGGUAGAGCACGUGACUGUAGUUUAAAGCGGGUAGACUUCCAAAAAGUUGAGUACGCAAGAAAGAUAUCAUGGGGUCCCUGGUUCAAAUCCGGGUUUUCGGA